GCUACACGAUUGCUAUCCUCCAUAUGCUUACUAGGAAGUAGACUUCAUGAAUUUAUUUUAGGAUUAAAUCCAGAAUAAACAUGUUUACAAUAACGCACAACAAAAUGCAUUGCAACUCAAAUAUAAAUUCCUACCCUAUCCCGUUGAAAACAGUCAGGGCUUGGAAAAAUUGUCGGCUGCCAACUGUUAGCAAGAUUUUCUUUAAAGAUAUGAAUACAGAUUCCCUUAACCUUCAAUUAAAGACUGACAUUUAGAAGAUUACUAUCAUAACAGUUCAACCCUGACAGUAUUCAAAAUUGUUGAAAAACAUAGAAAUGUUUUUGGUGCCUAGCCUGUUGUCCAGGGUCUGGACAGAAGAUAAUCCUAUGUGACAUCCACCUAGAAUGCAGUUCUGUAUGCUUUAAUUCUGACUUGGCACACAGCUCUGGAUAGGUUCUUGUCUGUGGCUGUAGCAGCCACAAUGUUUCAAGAUGCAUAUGGAGAAUAGAAUGUGGGAAGCUGCCUCAUGGCAGAUCAGCAUCUGCAAACUUAAAUUGCUGAAAUUCCCUCUUCUGCACAACUGCCAGAGAGGCAGACGUUAUGUCCUCUUUUGCAUGUAGCCACUCUCUUGGUAUAUCAAUGCUAAUACAGCAAUGUUCUUCAGGAUCUCUUUCAGCCAGCCUUCUGCUUCCAAAGCAUAUGCCAUACCACUGAGUUGUACCGCCUCCCAAAGAAUAACAUGAAACUGUUAUCAAGUCCAGAGGAAGCCCAGGCCUUGUGUGUUGUGCAAACAAGAAGAGAAACAAGAAGCUAUCUGCUGUGGUGAGCCUUUCAAGCCCUGGCCUGGGGAAAAGGAGGAAGUUCUGCAGAAUCCCAAAUGUCAGCUAAAUCACCUUCUUGAGAUAAACACAUAAACAGGCUACCUCUCCCUGAGUAAAGUGGCUAAGUGAAAUAAGACUGAUGUACAAGCUACUCAUGCUAUACAACCAUUAUAGGGAAAGGAGUCCUGUCUCUUAGUUCAUCUGACAACCCUGUCUCUGGGAGUACUUCUGAACAUCUGGCUUUAUGGAUGCGACGCUUCUUCUGAAGGUGCGACCAUCCAAAGGAUCCUGUAGGCAGGCUUCUUGUUGAAUCAAAGCAGCUCUGGGAUGGGUGAACAUGAGACACCCUGUGAAAUCUGUGUAGAGCCUCCUGGUUUCACUGGUGGACAAAGACUGAAAUAACGGUAUAGGAAAUAAAUCUAGAACUUCCUUGAAGGCUAUUU